AGACCCGAAACCCGGUGAUCUAGCCAUGGGCAGGUUGAAGGUUGGGUAACACUAACUGGAGGACCGAACCGACUAAUGUUGAAAAAUUAGCGGAUGACCUGUGGCUGGGGGUGAAAGGCCAAUCAAACCGGGAGAUAGCUGGUUCUCCCCGAAAGCUAUUUAGGUAGCGCCUCGUGAAUUCAUCUCCGGGGGUAGAGCACUGUUUCGGCUAGGGGGCCAUCCCGGCUUACCAACCCGAUGCAAACUGCGAAUACCGGAGAAUGUUAUCACGGGAGACACACGGCGGGUGCUAACGUCCGUCGUGAAGAGGGAAACAACCCAGACCGCCAGCUAAGGUCCCAAAGUCAUGGUUAAGUGGGAAACGAUGUGGGAAGGCCCAGACAGCCAGGAUGUUGGCUUAGAAGCAGCCAUCAUUUAAAGAAAGCGUAAUAGCUCACUGGUCGAGUCGGCCUGCGCGGAAGAUGUAACGGGGCUAAACCAUGCACCGAAGCUGCGGCAGCGACGCUGAUGCGUUGUUGGGUAGGGGAGCGUUCUGUAAGCCUGCGAAGGUGGCCUGUGAGGGUUGCUGGAGGUAUCAGAAGUGCGAAUGCUGACAUAAGUAACGAUAAAGCGGGUGAAAAGCCCGCUCGCCGGAAGACCAAGGGUUCCUGUCCAACGUUAAUCGGGGCAGGGUGAGUCGACCCCUAAGGCGAGGCCGAAAGGCGUAGUCGAUGGGAAACGGGUUAAUAUUCCCGUACUUGGUGUUACUGCGAAGGGGGGACGGAGAAGGCUAUGUUGGCCGGGCGACGGUUGUCCCGGUUUAAGCGUGUAGGUGUGUGUUCCAGGUAAAUCCGGUUCACUUUAACACUGAGGCGUGACGACGAGGCACUACGGUGCUGAAGCAACAAAUGCCCUGCUUCCAGGAAAAGCCUCUAAGCAUCAGGUAACAUCAAAUCGUACCCCAAACCGACACAGGUGGUCAGGUAGAGAAUACCAAGGCGCUUGAGAGAACUCGGGUGAAGGAACUAGGCAAAAUGGUGCCGUAACUUCGGGAGAAGGCACGCUGACACGUAGGUGAAGUGAUUUACUCACGGAGCUGAAGUCAGUCGAAGAUACCAGCUGGCUGCAACUGUUUAUUAAAAACACAGCACUGUGCAAACACGAAAGUGGACGUAUACGGUGUGACGCCUGCCCGGUGCCGGAAGGUUAAUUGAUGGGGUCAGCGCAAGCGAAGCUCCUGAUCGAAGCCCCGGUAAACGGCGGCCGUAACUAUAACGGUCCUAAGGUAGCGAAAUUCCUUGUCGGGUAAGUUCCGACCUGCACGAAUGGCGUAAUGAUGGCCAGGCUGUCUCCACCCGAGACUCAGUGAAAUUGAACUCGCUGUGAAGAUGCAGUGUACCCGCGGCAAGACGGAAAGACCCCGUGAACCUUUACUAUAGCUUGACACUGAACAUUGAGCCUUGAUGUGUAGGAUAGGUGGGAGGCUUUGAAGCGUGGACGCCAGUCUGCGUGGAGCCGACCUUGAAAUACCACCCUUUAAUGUUUGAUGUUCUAACGUGGACCCGUUACCCGGGUUGCGGACAGUGUCUGGUGGGUAGUUUGACUGGGGCGGUCUCCUCCUAAAGAGUAACGGAGGAGCACGAAGGUUGGCUAAUCCUGGUCGGACAUCAGGAGGUUAGUGCAAUGGCAUAAGCCAGCUUGACUGCGAGCGUGACGGCGCGAGCAGGUGCGAAAGCAGGUCAUAGUGAUCCGGUGGUUCUGAAUGGAAGGGCCAUCGCUCAACGGAUAAAAGGUACUCCGGGGAUAACAGGCUGAUACCGCCCAAGAGUUCAUAUCGACGGCGGUGUUUGGCACCUCGAUGUCGGCUCAUCACAUCCUGGGGCUGAAGUAGGUCCCAAGGGUAUGGCUGUUCGCCAUUUAAAGUGGUACGCGAGCUGGGUUUAGAACGUCGUGAGACAGUUCGGUCCCUAUCUGCCGUGGGCGCUGGAGAACUGAGGGGGGCUGCUCCUAGUACGAGAGGACCGGAGUGGACGCAUCACUGGUGUUCGGGUUGUCAUGCCAAUGGCACUGCCCGGUAGCUAAAUGCGGAAGAGAUAAGUGCUGAAAGCAUCUAAGCACGAAACUUGCCCCGA
rnacentral:rRNA from 3 species